rnacentral:rRNA from 1 species
UACAUGUGGGGCAAGCGUUGUUCGGAAUUACUGGGCAUAAAGGGUGCGUAGGUGGUUUGUUAAGUCAGGGGUGAAAUCCCGCGGCCCAACCGUGGAACUGCCUUUGAUACUGGCGAACUUGAGUGCGUGAGGGGGUAGGGGAACGAGCAGUGUAGCGGUGAAAUGCGUAGAUAUUGCUCGGAAGGCCAGAGCCGAAGGGGCCCCUACUGGUGCGUAACUGACACUGAGGCACGAAAAGCGUGGGGAGCAAAACAGG